rnacentral:rRNA from 1 species
AUGAACGCUGGCGGCGUGCCUAAUACAUGCACGUCGAGCGAACGGACGAGAAGCUUGCUUCUCUGAUGUUAGCGGCGGACGGGUGAGUAACACGUGGAUAACCUACCUAUAAGACUGGGAUAACUUCGGGAAACCGGAGCUAAUACCGGAUAAUAUUUUGAACCGCAUGGUUCAAAAGUGAAAGACGGUCUUGCUGUCACUUAUAGAUGGAUCCGCGCUGCAUUAGCUAGUUGGUAAGGUAACGGCUUACCAAGGCAACGAUGCAUAGCCGACCUGAGAGGGUGAUCGGCCACACUGGAACUGAGACACGGUCCAGACUCCUAAGGGAGGCAGCAGUAGGGAAUCUUCCGCAAUGGGCGAAAGCCUGACGGAGCAACGCCGCGUGAGUGAUGAAGGUCUUCGGAUCGUAAAACUCUGUUAUUAGGGAAGAACAUAUGUGUAAGUAACUGUGCACAUCUUGACGGUACCUAAUCAGAAAGCCACGGCUAACUACGUG